rnacentral:rRNA from 1 species
AUUGAACGCUGGCGGCAUGCCUUACACAUGCAAGUCGAACGGUAACAGGUCUUCGGAUGCUGACGAGUGGCGAACGGGUGAGUAAUACAUCGGAACGUGCCCGAUCGUGGGGGAUAACGGAGCGAAAGCUUUGCUAAUACCGCAUACGAUCUACGGAUGAAAGCAGGGGACCGCAAGGCCUUGCGCGGACGGAGCGGCCGAUGGCAGAUUAGGUUGUUGGUGGGAUAAAAGCUUACCAAGCCGACGAUCUGUAGCUGGUCUGAGAGGACGACCGGCGACACAGGGACUGAGACACGGCCCAGAAUCCUACGGGAGGCAGCAGGGGGGAAUUUUGGACAAUGGGCGCAAGCCUGAUCCAGCCAUGCCGCGUGCAGGAUGAAGGCCUUCGGGUUGUAAACUGCUUUUGUACGGAACGAAAAGACUCUUUCUAAUAAAGAGGGUCCAUGACGGUACCGUAAGAAUAAGCACCGGCUAACUACGUGCCAGCAGCCGCCGUAA